rnacentral:misc_RNA from 1 species
AAGUAUCUCAAUAUCCAAGGAUUGAAUUUUUUUUAGGUUUUUAAUUUUUAAUUUAAAUUAUAUAUAAUGGAUGAAGAAGGCGACAGUAUUUUGAUGGAAGAAAAUUAUUACCAGUUGCUGAAUGUCUCCAAAACGGCAUCUCCUGAGGAGAUCAACAGUGCGUAUCGGCGGUUCAGUCGCAUGUUCCACCCUGACAAGCACAGCACAGACCCGAACAAGCAGAAAUGGGCCGAGCAGAUCUUCAACAAGGUCAAGGAGGCAUACGAAGUGCUAUCCGAUAACCACAAAAGAGCUAUUUAUGAUACAUUAGGUAAAAGAGGUUUGGAAGUAGAUGGCUGGGAAGUUAUAUUUCGAACGCGAACUCCUAGAGAAAUUAGAGAGGAAUAUGAAAGGUUAAAGCGCGAGCGAGAGGAGCGGCGGUUGCAGCAGAGCGCCAACCCUCGCGGCACCAUCACCCUCUCCGUCAACGCCACAGACAUGUUCAUGAAAUAUUACGAUGAAUAUGAAAUCAUAGAAGAAUCAAAUAUCCUACCUAAUAUAGAGGUAUCAGGCAUGACCAUUCAGCAAUCCAUAGACGCGCCAAUAACAUUGAGGGACACCAUGACUCUCUCAGGAAAUAUAUCAACGCAAAACGGAAUCGGCACCGGCUCCGUGAACCUAUGCAACCGGCACCUCAGCUCCGAGAAGGGUUGGACGGAGUUCGAGUUCGGCAUAGGCAACGGCCCACUGCUGGGCUUCAAGAUGUUCCGGACGCUCUCCCGCCUCAUGUUCCUCAACUGCGGCACUGUCAUGCAGUUCACACCGAGGGGGAUCGUGCCUAGUCUUGUCUCAACAAUGGCGCUCCAACUGGACGCGCACUCCGUCGGCUACCUGACGUACCGCGCCGGCGGGCAGGGCGGGUCGUCCAUGACGUCUAUAUACGUCCGCGACUCCGAGAAGUACCACACCAACACGGCCAUCCAGCUCGGCAACCCGCACUCCUUCAUAUCCUUCAAUAUUAUGAGGAAGAUGCCGCAGCAUGAUAUGAAACUGCGCUUGGCGUUGAAACUGGGUACCUUCGGCGCCAUAGCGGAGUACGGGGCCGAGAAGAAGGUGUCGAAGAACAGCAGCGUGUCGGCCGCCGUGAUGCUCGGCGUCCCCAGCGGCGUCAUACUCAAGCUCAAAUGGACAUGUUCAACACAAACGAUAGUGGUCCCCAUCCACUUGUGCGAAGAGGUGAUGCCGUCACCGGUGUUCUACGCCACAGUGGUUCCCAUGGUCUCGUGGCUCAUCCUCAAGAAACUGGUGCUGGACCCCAUCGCGCGGGAGCGGUCGGAGAGAGAGCGACAGCGGUCUAUGGAGGCCAACUUUGAAAGGUUACAAGAAAUGCAGCGGCAAGCGCGAGCAACAGUAGAGCUGAUGCGAGAAACCUACUCCAGGAUACGGAGCGACGAGGAGAAGAAAAAGGGCCUCGUCAUCCUUCGGGCGUUGUAUGGGAAGCUACCUGCGGGAGCGUCAAGUCACGAGGUUGAAGCGGAGCCGACGGGCGACGCGGCUUCGCCCGAGUCUCCGACCGCGUACAGCGAAGUCAUCGACGUGACGAUACCCGUGCAGUGCCUCGUCAAGGACUCGCGGCUAGAGCUGCUAGAGGCCAGCAAGGCGGACCUGGCCGGCUUCUUCGACCCGUGCGUGGGCGAGGAGAAGCACCUCACCAUACAAUACACCUUCCACAAGAACCUGCACUGCUGCACCGUCGCCGACACUCAGCCCGUAGUUCUGCCGCGCAACAAUCAUCGGAUAAAGAACAGAUCCUGAAGGUGAUAGCCGAGAACCAGGCGCUAACUAUAACGCCGAGCGAGCGUCGGCGUGCAUCCUAUCAUAAUAUAUUGACGCAUUGGCUUGGAGACACGGGUUGUAUGCCCAUCCGGUCACGAGGAUGGGUUUAAGAAGCUCGUGUACUAUUUAUGCACGU